GACAGAGGAUGCAAGCGUUAUCCGGAAUGAUUGGGCGUAAGCGUCUGUAGGUGGCUUUUAAGUCUGCCGUCAAAUCCCAGGGCUUAACCCUGGGCAGGCGGUGGAAACUACCAAGCUGGAGUACGGUAGGGGCAGAGGGAAUUUACGGUGUAGCGGUGAAAUGCGUAGAUAUCGUAAGGAAGACCAGUGGUCGAAGGCGGGUCUCUGGACAGUUCCUGACGCUGAGGCACGAAGGCCAGGGGAGCAAACGGG
rnacentral:rRNA from 1 species